rnacentral:rRNA from 1 species
UACGGGGGGUGCAAACGUUGCUCGGAAUUAUUGGGCGUAAAGCGCACGUAGGCGGUCUCGUAAGUCGGGUGUGAAAGCCCCAGGCUUAACCUGGGAAGUGCACUCGAAACUGCGAGGCUUGAGUAUGGAAGAGGGCCGCGGAAUUCCCGGUGUAGAGGUGAAAUUCGUAGAUAUCGGGAGGAACACUAGUGGCGAAGGCGAGACUCUGGACAGUUCCUGACGCUGAGGCACGAAGGCCAGGGGAGCAAACGGG